rnacentral:tRNA from 1 species
GCGGGAGUGGCGUAAUAGGCAGGCGCGCGGGCCUUAGGAGCCCGUGUCCGAGAGGACGUGGGGGUUCGACUCCCCUCUCCCGCACCA